CUAUUAUCCUCCCAGUCCACAACGCUGAACCGUGGCUGGAUGAAUGUUUGAGGUCUGUUUUGCAACAGGAUUUUGAAGGCACCAUGGAGCUGUCUGUUUUCAACGAUGCCAGUAAGGACAAGUCUGGGGCUAUCAUUGAAAAAUGGAGAGUGAAGCUGGAAGAUUCCGGUGUCCACGUGAUCAUUGGGGGGCACGAUUCUCCUUCUCCCCGAGGCGUUGGAUACUCUAAAAAUCAAGCAGUUGCCCAGAGCUCAGGGUCUUACCUUUGCUUUUUGGAUUCGGAUGACGUCAUGAUGCCCCAGCGGGUGAGGCUGCAACACGAGGCUGCCGUUCAGCACCCGUCGAGCUUGCUGGUUAGUGGUUACGUGAAUUACAUUGUGUAGUUUGUCUUGAGAGAAUGAAAUAAAUGCUGAGAUACUUGUA
rnacentral:sRNA from 1 species